CAACGACUCUCGGCAACGGAUAUCUCGGCUCUCGCAUCGAUGAGGAACGUAGCGAAAUGCGAUACUUGGUGUGAAUUGCAGAAUCCCGUGAACCAUCGAGUCUUUGAACGCAAGUUGCGCCCGAAGCCGUCGGGCCGAGGGCACGUCUGCCUGGGCGUCACGC
rnacentral:rRNA from 1 species